rnacentral:pre_miRNA from 1 species
AUAACAUUCAGGACCGUCGGUCUACUGAGCAAUAUCACCCGCUCGGUGGAAGAUCUUCCCUUUAUGUCGU